rnacentral:rRNA from 1 species
UACGUAGGGGGCAAGCGUUGUCCGGAUUUAUUGGGCGUAAAGCGCUCGUAGGUGGUUCGUUGCGUCGUGCGUGAAAGACCCCGGCUCAACUGGGGAGGGUCGUGCGAUACGGGCGAACUGGAGGCCAGUAGGGGGAUGUGGAAUUCCGGGUGUAGUGGUGGAAUGCGUAGAGAUCCGGAGGAACACCAGCGGCGAAGGCGGCAUCCUGGACUGGUCCUGACACUCAGGAGCGAAAGCGUGGGGAGCGAUCCGG